rnacentral:rRNA from 1 species
GAGAGGAUGACCAGCCACACUGGAACUGAGACACGGUCCAGACUCCUACGGGAGUCAGCAGUGGGGAAUAUUGCACAAUGGGCGCAAGCCUGAUGCAGCCAUGCCGCGUGUAUGAAGAAGGCCUUCGGGUUGUAAAGUACUUUCAGCGGGGAGGAAGGGAGUAAAGUUAAUACCUUUGCUCAUUGACGUUACCCGCAGAAGAAGCACCGGCUAACUCCGUGCCAGCAGCCGCGGUGAAUACGGAGGGUGCAAGCGUUAAUCGGAAUUACUGGGCGUAAAGCGCACGCAGCCGGUUUGUUAAGUCAAGAUGUGAAAUCCCCGGGCUCAACCUGGGAACUGCAUCUGAUACUGGCAAGCUUGAGUCUCGUAGAGGGGGGUAGAAUUCCAGGUGUAGCGGUGAAAUGCGUAGAGAUCUGGAGGAAUACCGGUGGCGAAGGCGGCCCCCUGGACGAAGACUGACGCUCAGGUGCGAAAGCGUGGG